rnacentral:rRNA from 1 species
UACGGGGGGGGCAAGCGUUGUUCGGAAUUACUGGGCGUAAAGGGCUCGUAGGCGGCCAACUAAGUCAGACGUGAAAUCCCUCGGCUUAACCGGGGAACUGCGUCUGAUACUGGAUGGCUUGAGAUUGGGAGAGGGAUGCGGAAUUCCAGGUGUAGCGGUGAAAUGACGUAGAUAUCUGGAGGAACACCGGUGGCGAAGGCGACAUCCUGGACCAACACUGACGCUGAGGAGCGAAAGCCAGGGGAGCAAACGGG